GGUAGGAAAUGCUAAAGGUACAAUCAUUCAGACCCACCUUUUACUGGGUAAUAUUUUAUUUUCAUGUUAGUUCCUCUGCUGUCUGUGGAGCUGCUUGCAGGCUAACGGGUGGCAGCAUGGAGAUGUAAUUUUCUAACAAGCCUUAUUUAGGUAAUUCAUGUAAUUUGUACCAAUUUAUUCUCUCAGUUUUUGUCCUGAGGCUGCAGACAGAUUUUGUGGCCGUGAUCUGGAGCUGAUACACAGAUACCACCCUGCUCUUGCUCUGUUCUCGGCAUCACAUUAUCCCCUCUUCAGCAGUGCAGCAUGAGAGCUUUUCCCUCUUCACAACCUACAUGGAGCUUCAUGAUUGUCUGAUAUGUAACAAUUAAAAGAUAUCUGGGAGAUGUUCCAUGCUGGGAGCGUGGAUAGAAGCUCACAAUUGGAUAGAAGCUCACAAUUGGAAAGGCUGCUCUUCUUUCUGGAACAGAUAUAUUGGAUUGAACGCAGUAGGCUGUGGGAAUAAGCAGGUCACAAAGCCUGAGAAACCCCAGUAGGUUCCAGGUCCUGCUCCCUUAGGUUGUCCUGUUCCUAGGGUAGCACAGCUUGCCAAACCCGAUUGUAGGCUGCAGUUUUCCUCCAGCUUGCUCUUCUCCCUGUAGGGAAACUCAUUCCCUGGUUGCUAAUCCCCCAUCCCAAGUUACAGAUUUUGCUCUUGAGAAGGAUUCUCCUCCAAAAAGAAGAAAUAAUAACCAAUUGAGACAGGAUGGCUUUUUGGAAGGACUUCUUGCAAAGGCUCCUUGGAUUCAAAGAAGAUGUAACUGGGAGCAAUCGUUCAUUAGCAGUGGAGACAUACUGGAAAUCGAGAAAAUCCUGGGUCUGCAUUGUAUUUCCUGAUAAAUUCAAAUUUCCCUGCCACCGUGAUGGAAAGCAAGCUGAGAUUUGAUGAAUGAAAUUGAGACUCACUGUGAAACAGAGCAACAGCUUUGAAGAGCUGCCAGAUUUCAGCAAAGGACUCGGGCUGAAGACAAGGAUUGCUCUUGAAGUAACUGUAAAAUGCAAUGACCUUGUGGGAGCCCACCUCGAUGAGGCUGGAUAUUUGACUGAUGUACCACUCAAGUCAUUUUCACAGAGCUUGGGAGGAAUUUCAGCUGCAAGAAAUUCUCUGCUUGAGCUUUAGUUUCUUUAUCUCAAGCAUGCUGCUGCAGAGCUCUAAAAGUGGGAAGGGGGCAAGGGCUCGUUUGUGGAGCUGGAAGAUUGGGUGGGCAUAUCCAGGUGGUUUUGCCCUCCAAUUCAUUGUACCUAAAUGCACCUGUCUCUAAUUCUCUGUGUAAUCAUGAAGAUGUUUCUCAGCUGGUGAGCUCAGGUGUGCUGGGGCUGCAGUGGAGCAGGUCUGAACACAAGGCAGAAUUUAGUCAGUUUUUGUGCUGAGGAGACAACCAAAGCUCCAGGGAUGGCACUUUGAAGGCCUUUUCCUCCUUAUUCCAGGGUACUGCCUUGAUGGAGCUGCAUCUGUCUUGGUGAGAAAUUUUCUGUGGGGGAGGUGGGGGGGUCGUGGCUGAGGUUCUGGUGUGGGUGGGUGACAGUGCACUCAGGGAAUGUGUUAUAGGUGCUUCAGUGUUGUAUUUUGGGGCCUCUAGGAAACGGAUGGGAAGGCAGAGUUGCUGCCUCAGAAAUUCCAGGUCAAAAUAGACUAAGACAUGACAAAGUAUAAGGGCAAGGUGUUCUAUUAUGCAUUAUAUAAGGCCAAGAGAAGACUCUGAGAGCUUAUUUAAACUUAAAAUCAGAGAGGGGCAAAUCUACAAGACCCUGUCGAUAUCAGAUUGGAGUGUAUGCAUGCUUUUAGAGCAACCACAAACAUGUUUCUCCCUUGUAAGGCUCAUUAUCCUAAUAUAGAAAGCUCCUGGAGAUAAGGCUGUGUCGGGCAUACGGUAGAGCCUAUGCUCCAGGCACAGGGAGUAAGUGUUGAGGCAAGAAAUGACUUUUUCCUGGCAUGACCCACUAAGAUUGAACUGGAAUGGCAAUUAGAAGUUGAAGUGCUCAUUUAAUGUCAGUGAUGUGUAAACUACGUUGCCAUUGUUAUUUUAGUGCUUAUUUACAUAAUUGGCAUACCCUGAAGUCACACUGCACGAACUUUCAGUUCAUGCUAAAGACUUGCAGGAAGUCAUAAAAUUAAACAU
rnacentral:lncRNA from 1 species